CACACGAGUUUGAUCAUGGCUUAGGAUGAACGCUAGCGGCAGGCUUAACACAUGCAAGUCGAGGGGCAGCGCGAUGUAGCAAUACAUUGGCGGCGACCGGCGCACGGGUGCGUAACACGUAUGGAACUUACCCUUUACUGGGAGAUAGCCCGGAGAAAUCCGGAUUAAUAUCCCAUAAUAAACGAAGUGGCAUCACUUUGUUUUGAAAGCUCCGGCGGUAAAGGAUGGCCAUGCGCACGAUUAGCUAGUAGGUGAGGUAACGGCUCACCUAGGCUACGAUCGUUAGGGGGCCUGAGAGGGUUAUCCCCCACACUGGUACUGAGACACGGACCAGACUCCUACGGGAGGCAGCAGUGAGGAAUAUUGCGCAAUGGAGGCAACUCUGACGCAGCCAUGCCGCGUGCAGGAAGAAGGCGCUACGCGUUGUAAACUGCUUUUAACCGGGAAGAAACCCUCCGACGUGUCGGAGGUUGACGGUACCGGAGGAAUAAGCACCGGCUAACUUCGUG
rnacentral:rRNA from 1 species